rnacentral:rRNA from 1 species
UACGUAGGGCGCAAGCGUUAUCCGGAAUUAUUGGGCGUAAAGAGCUCGUAGGCGGUUUGUCGCGUCUGCCGUGAAAAGUCCGGGGGCUCAACUCCGGAUCUGCGGUGGGUACGGGCAGACUAGAGUGAUGUAGGGGAGACUGGAAUUCCUGGUGUAGCGGUGAAAUGCGCAGAUAUCAGGAGGAACACCGAUGGCGAAGGCAGGUCUCUGGGCAUUAACUGACGCUGAGGAGCGAAAGCAUGGGGGAGCGAACAGG